rnacentral:piRNA from 1 species
GCAGAAUGGAUCUCGAUUGUCGCCAGA